AGGUGCGACAAUACCGACGUUAAUGCACCAUAGCCCAUCAAAACUCCGCAGUUAAGCGUGCUUGGGCUAGAAAAGAAGUAGGAUGGGUGACCUCACGGGAAGUCUUAGUGUUUCACGCU
rfam:Picea glauca, whole genome shotgun sequence.